rnacentral:rRNA from 1 species
GACGGAGGGUGCAAGCGUUGUUCGGAAUUACUGGGCGUAAAGGGCGCGUAGGCGGUCUGUUAAGUUCGGUGUGAAAGCCCCCGGCUCACCUGGGGAACUGCGCCGGAAACCGACAGACUCGAGUACCGGAGAGGAGGGUGGAAUUCCUGGUGUAGAGGUGAAAUUCGUAGAUAUUCGCAAGAACACCAGUGGCGAAGGCGGCUCACUGGCCCGAUACUGACGCUGAGGAGCGAAAGCGUGGGGAGCGAACAGG